ACCAGACUCCUACGGGAGGCAGCAGUGGGGAAUUUUGCGCAAUGGGGGAAACCCUGACGCAGCAACGCCGCGUGCGGGAUGACGGCCUUCGGGUUGUAAACCGCUUUCAGUAGGGACGAAUUUUGACGGUACCUACAGAAGAAGCCCCGGCUAACUACGUGCCAGCAGCCGCGGUAAUACGUAGGGGGCGAGCGUUAUCCGGAUUCAUUGGGCGUAAAGCGCGCGUAGGCGGUCAUGUAAGCGGGACCUCUAAUCUUGGGGCUCAACCUCAAGCCGGGUUCCGAACUACAUGACUCGAGUGUGGUAGGGGAGAUCGGAAUUCCCGGUGUAGCGGUGGAAUGCGCAGAUAUCGGGAGGAACACCGGCGGCGAAGGCGGCUUACUGGACUGUAACUGACGUUGAGGCUCGAAGGCGUGGGGAGCAAACAGGAUUAGAUACCCGAGUA
rnacentral:rRNA from 1 species